rnacentral:rRNA from 1 species
GAAACGGGUGGUAAUGCCGGAUGCUCCAGUUGAUCGCAUGGUCUUCUGGGAAAGCUUUCGCGGUAUGGGAUGGGGUCGCGUCCUAUCAGCUUGACGGCGGGGUAACGGCCCACCGUGGCUUCGACGGGUAGCCGGCCUGAGAGGGCGACCGGCCACAUUGGGACUGAGAUACGGCCCAGACUCCUACGGGAGGCAGCAGUGGGGAAUAUUGCACAAUGGGCGCAAGCCUGAUGCAGCGACGCCGCGUGAGGGAUGGAGGCCUUCGGGUUGUAAACCUCUUUUAUCGGGGAGCAAGCGAGAGUGAGUUUACCCGUUGAAUAAGCACCGGCUAACUACGUGCCAGCAGCCGCGGUAAUACGUAGGGUGCAAGCGUUAUCCGGAAUUAUUGGGCGUAAAGGGCUCGUAGGCGGUUCGUCGCGUCCGGUGUGAAAGUCCAUCGCUUAACGGUGGAUCCGCGCCGGGUACGGGCGGGCUUGAGUGCGGUAGGGGAGACUGGAAUUCCCGGUGUAACGGUGGAAUGUGUAGAUAUC